rnacentral:rRNA from 1 species
GUGUCUUCGAGUCGUUGAUUUCACACUGCCGAGAAAAGCCUCUAGAUAGAAAAUAGGUGCCCGUACCGCAAACCGACACAGGUAGUCAAGAUGAGAAUUCUAAGGUGAGCGAGCGAACUCUCGUUAAGGAACUCGGCAAAAUGACCCCGUAACUUCGGGAGAAGGGGUGCUCUUUAGGGUUAACGCCCAGAAGAGCCGCAGUGAAUAGGCCCAAGCGACUGUUUAUCAAAAACACAGGUCUCUGCUAAACCGUAAGGUGAUGUAUAGGGGCUGACGCCUGCCCGGUGCUGGAAGGUUAAGAGGAGUGGUUAGCUUCUGCGAAGCUACGAAUCGAAGCCCCAGUAAACGGCGGCCGUAACUAUAACGGUCCUAAGGUAGCGAAAUUCCUUGUCGGGUAAGUUCCGACCCGCACGAAAGGCGUAACGAUUUGGGCACUGUCUCAACGAGAGACUCGGUGAAAUCAUAGUACCUGUGAAGAUGCAGGUUACCCGCGACAGGACGGAAAGACCCCGUGGAGCUUUACUGUAGCCUGAUAUUGAAAUUCGGCACAGCUUGUACAGGAUAGGUAGGAGCCUUUGAAACGUGAGCGCUAGCUUACGUGGAGGCGCUGGUGGGAUACUACCCUAGCUGUGUUGGCUUUCUAACCCGCACCACUUAUCGUGGUGGGAGACAGUGUCAGGCGGGCAGUUUGACUGGGGCGGUCGCCUCCUAAAAGGUAACGGAGGCGCUCAAAGGUUCCCUCAGAAUGGUUGGAAAUCAUUCAUAGAGUGUAAAGGCAUAAGGGAGCUUGACUGCGAGACCUACAAGUCGAGCAGGGUCGAAAGACGGACUUAGUGAUCCGGUGGUUCCGCAUGGAAGGGCCAUCGCUCAACGGAUAAAAGCUACCCCGGGGAUAACAGGCUUAUCUCCCCCAAGAGUUCACAUCGACGGGGAGGUUUGGCACCUCGAUGUCGGCUCAUCGCAUCCUGGGGCUGUAGUCGGUCCCAAGGGUUGGGCUGUUCGCCCAUUAAAGCGGUACGCGAGCUGGGUUCAGAACGUCGUGAGACAGUUCGGUCCCUAUCCGUCGUGGGCGUAGGAAAUUUGAGAGGAGCUGUCCUUAGUACGAGAGGACCGGGAUGGACAUACCUCUGGUGUACCAGUUGUCGUGCCAACGGCAUAGCUGGGUAGCUAUGUGUGGACGGGAUAAGUGCUGAAAGCAUCUAAGCAUGAAGCCCCCCUCAAGAUGAGAUUUCCCAACUUCGGUUAUAAGAUCCCUCAAAGAUGAUGAGGUUAAUAGGUUC